rnacentral:rRNA from 1 species
UACGAAGGGGCUAGCGUUGCUCGGAAUCACUGGGCGUAAAGCGCACGUAGGCGGCUUUUAAGUCAGAGGUGAAAUCCUGGAGCUCAACUCCAGAACUGCCUUGAUACUGGAGAGCUGAGUCCGGGAGAGGUGAGUGGAACUGCGAGUGUAGAGGUGAAAUUCGUAGAUAUUCGCAAGAACACCAGUGGCGAAGGCGGACUCACUGGCCCGGUACUGACGCUGAGGUGCGAAAGCGUGGGAGCAACA